rnacentral:rRNA from 1 species
GAUGAACGCUGGCGGCGUGCCUAACACAUGCAAGUCGAGCGAUUCUCUUCGGAGAAGAGCGGCGGACGGGUGAGUAACGCGUGGGUAACCUGCCCUGUACACACGGAUAACAUACCGAAAGGUAUGCUAAUACGAGAUAAUAUACUUUUAUCGCAUGGUAGAAGUAUCAAAGCUCCGGCGGUACAGGAUGGACCCGCGUCUGAUUAGCUAGUUGGUAAGGUAACGGCUUACCAAGGCGACGAUCAGUAGCCGACCUGAGAGGGUGAUCGGCCACAUUGGAACUGAGACACGGUCCAAACUCCUACGGGAGGCAGCAGUGGGGAAUAUUGCACAAUGGGCGAAAGCCUGAUGCAGCAACGCCGCGUGAGCGAUGAAGGCCUUCGGGUCGUAAAGCUCUGUCCUCAAGGAAGAUAAUGACGGUACUUGAGGAGGAAGCCCCGGCUAACUACGUGCCAGCAGCCGCGGUAAUACGUAGGGGGCUAGCGUUAUCCGGAAUUACUGGGCGUAAAGGGUGCGUAGGUGGUUUCUUAAGUCAGAGGUGAAAGGCUACGGCUCAACCGUAGUAAGCCUUUGAAACUGGGAAACUUGAGUGCAGGAGAGGAGAGUGGAAUUCCUAGUGUAGCGGUGAAAUGCGUAGAUAUUAGGAGGAACACCAGUUGCGAAGGCGGCUCUCUGGACUGUAACUGACACUGAGGCACGAAAGCGUGGGGAGCAAACAGGAUUAGAUACCCUGAUAGUCCACGCCGUAAACGAUGAGUACUAGCUGUCGGAGGUUACCCCCUUCGGUGGCGCAGCUAACGCAUUAAGUACUCCGCCUGGGAAGUACGCUCGCAAGAGUGAAACUCAAAGGAAUUGACGGGGACCCGCACAAGUAGCGGAGCAUGUGGUUUAAUUCGAAGCAACGCGAAGAACCUUACCUAAGCUUGACAUCCUUUUGACCGAUGCCUAAUCGCAUCUUUCCCUUCGGGGACAGAAGUGACAGGUGGUGCAUGGUUGUCGUCAGCUCGUGUCGUGAGAUGUUGGGUUAAGUCCCGCAACGAGCGCAACCCUUGCCUUUAGUUGCCAGCAUUAAGUUGGGCACUCUAGAGGGACUGCCAGGGAUAACCUGGAGGAAGGUGGGGAUGACGUCAAAUCAUCAUGCCCCUUAUGCUUAGGGCUACACACGUGCUACAAUGGGUGGUACAGAGGGCAGCCAAGUCGUGAGGCGGAGCUAAUCCCUUAAAGCCAUUCUCAGUUCGGAUUGUAGGCUGAAACUCGCCUACAUGAAGCUGGAGUUACUAGUAAUCGCAGAUCAGAAUGCUGCGGUGAAUGCGUUCCCGGGUCU